GGCCACUGUGACCAGAUGUCCCCUGUUGUUCUUCCCACCUCUUUCUCUAAUUUGAUUUGAUAAAUGUCAAUUUACCCAACUCCGUUUUGUUGCAGAUGCUAGACUUUCUGAGCAAAACAAUGAAGAUCUUUAAGCAUACCUUUUUGGUAUCUAUAUGUGUACACUCCAUGUUUCUGUUUUCCACACCAGUUUAAUAAUAUAAUCUCUGUAGUGGAGAUGAGACCAGUCAGUAGAUUAAAUGCCCUGUGAAGUUAAUUUCUUAAAAACACUUUGGUGUGCAGUGCAGCUCCUGUUAAAAUGAAGUUUCAUCUUGAAGUACUAUUUUUGAGGAAAGGUCUCCUACAUGCCUAGGCUGACCUUGGCCUAAUAUUCCUGUGUCCACCUCAAGUGUUGGGGACUGUAGGUAAAUGCUACUCUUCCUGGUUUUCCUGCUAAAAUAUUUUUUAAAGAUGAGUUUGUUAUUUGACAUGCUUUAUUAUGUAUUAUUGUUUAUUCAUAUGUGAACAUGAAGUUAUUUUUAGAAAAGCACCCUUGUUUCAAGAUUAAUGAGUUUGUUAAGUGUCUCAUCAUAGUGAAAUUGCUUUCUGAGUUACUUUAAAAUUGUGUUUUGAUGUUGGGUUCACGUGUGUGUGUGUGUGUGUGUGUGUGUGUGUGUGUGUGUGUGUGUGUGUGUGUGUGUGAGAGGAGGUUAGUGAGUCUGCUCUCAUUCUGUAAUGUGGGUCCUGGGGAUUGGACUCUGGUCAUCUUGUUGGCCACUUUACUAUCUACAACUUUUAAGAUCCCUGUUAUUUCUUAGAUAUAAUUAGUUGCAUUGGAAUUCCUCAUUUUGCUUUCAGUUUGUAGUCUUUAUAGUGCUCUGGUUCUUUGGGGGUAGGUAGUGUCUGCUGAAAUGUGCAUGCCACAUUGUAUGGAGGACAGUUUUGGAAAUUGAAAGAACAUUGGAAACCUAGAAUACUGUGUCAGUUUUGUAGACAGUUUUACCAGCUUAGAUACAAUGACUCAUCAUUCCCACCCUAACCCCCACCUCCAGAAUGUGGUUGAGUAGGAAGCUCGACAGUUUCAUUGAGUUGUCAGUGGAGCACUUGUCAGGGCAGUACCCAGCUGGCCUGGAACCGUUAGUGUGUGAGCUCAAGUAGAAUCUUGUGGAGAUUGUUCUCUGCUGUUUGAGAAGGGGAUCACACAUGUCUUUAAAAUAUUGGAGAGUAUAAUAGAAACCCCAAUGUUACUGGAACAGUUUGAACAUUGCUCUGGGGGGGGGGGGGGACGACGACCUUGAGUAUCGAAGUGCUAGAUUGACUGGCCUUGAUUUAGUGAGAUUGGAUUUAUUGGCCAAGAAUGUAAGUCCAUGUGUGUCCAUGUUAAUUUCUUUUGGUAAAAUUGGAAGCUGAAGCCUUAGAUUUAGGAGAAGAAUAUUCAGUGUUUUUUUUCCUGUCCAUAGUGGAGAUAGCUCAUAAGGCUUCUUAAGUGUGUGGGCAAUGUUGUGUUCUUGAGCCAUAUCCCCAUCCAGGAAUACUAGAUUUCGAUAACACUUGUCGUCUGUAGGAGAGAGAUGGAAUAAACAGUCCCGGGACUAGACUGGAAUAUCAUCUAAAGUCUCAGUAUUUUGUUUUCCAAGACAGGAUUUCACUUUUUAGCCCAGAGAUAUGGACUGCCACUUCUUGGCAACUUCUUGUUUUUGACGCAACACCUUAAACGUCAACAAGUUUUCUUUGUGUUUAAUGACAUCUUCUAUAUAUUGUUUUAGUAAUUUAACCUGAGUAGUCUGAGGUAUGUAAGACAUCUCAUGUUUAUAGUUAGAUUGGUAGAUGCAUGUAGUUCUGUACCUCAUAGUUCAUUUUGCUGUGACUUAAGGCCAUUAGGAAAGAUAACUAACCAUCUUUAUCCUUUAGGUGAUGUUAGAAGCCAUGUCAGAGAACAUAAAUACAGACUGACUUCCUAUUUCACUUAAUGACUAUGCUUCAAAUGUGCAUGCAAGCAAGUGAAGUGAUGUGGAACUGGCUGGUUUGAUCUGACUAUAGUUGUGCUUCAGUGUUACAGUAAAUAGGACACUAAACUGGAUGCAGGAAGCCUGGGAUUUGUUUCUGUUACUUCCACCACUGUGGUCUAAGAUAAUAAAUAGAACACAUUUUUACUUGGUUUUCUGAUCUGUUUGCUGGAAACAAUGCUCACCGUAGGAAGACUUGACUGCACAGCCUGCUUUCCUAUUUUGUGUGUAUUUAUCCAAUGCCCUAAUAGUUGCUACUGGCAGUGAUUUACUCCUGUGGAGUAAAGGAGUGAAUAGCAACUUGAAAGUAACCCUCUCGUUUAAGGCUCCCUAUUGGACACACAGUAGGUAUUGUGCUUUACACACAUGGCUGUAUAAAGUAACCCAAGUUAGUGUUAAUAUUAAGGAAUCUCAGACUGAGAGGAAGUUCACGUUAGUAUUCUAGAGAUCCUACAGGAGGUACCCGUUUAUACAGGUUAGUGGACAAACACUAGGCUGUACACUAUAUAGUUAAAGCUUGUGACUACAGAAUAAAAAUGGGUUGGAUUUCAUACUUCCUAUUUAGUAAAAUAGAAUACAGUGUUGUGGGUUUUGUAAUGUAUUGGGUUUUCUGGUUAUCUGUUCAGCUUUUCUUAAAGCAUAAGAAAAAUACAGUUUUUUUAUGCUACCAAAAUACUGAUACAUUUGUCAUAAGCUCAGAAGCUGUUGUACUUCACACAAAAUUUGGAAAACUUACCUGGCUGUUUACAGUGUGGAAGGGAGAUUUUCGUUAUAGAACGAGUAAUGACUUGUUGGCAAAUUGAAUUGUUGGCAAAACUUAAACAAAAUGUGUGUUUUAAAGGCUAAACGAGUGCGAUCCACAUUAGUCACAGCCAGUUUCAGAGAUUGACCAUACUAAAGUAGCUUAAUAGAGAUAACAGAUCCCUAGGCUGUUACUCGGGACUGUUGUAUUGAAGGCAGGGUGUGGUUUGUAGAAGAAUAUCUCAUUCCUUGAAACUAAUUGUGGCAGCUCCACUGGAGAUGGAGGCUGGAGAAUUCCCACCAGUUUGAGGCAAGCUUGAGCUGUAGUGUAAGACCCUGUCACUAUCUUAACAUAUUUCGUUCAAAAUAGUUGUGGAUUAAAAAGACAAUUAGUACUUGAGGAAAGAAAUGUAAUGUGAUAAAUAAAAAUGUUGACCAGAAUACUUAAUAUUCUGGAUAAAAGGCAUCUAUUAACAGAAGAGUUUUGCGUGAACAUUUUUAGCUCUGUUAUGGGUGGAAAAGUUUGUUUGUUACAGAGCACUUCAUUAGGUCAACUGAUGAGUUGGUAUAUCUAAUAUUUCAGAAAAUUAAUUUUCUAUCUAAAAAGAAGUCAUAUGACUUAAAAAUAGUAGACUUAUUCUAUGUGUUAUGUUAUUAUCUUUUAUUUUUAUUAAAGAAGUAUACAUAGCAAUUUUAAAUUGAGGACAUUUCCCCUACCCAUUGCUUUUAUGAAGUAAAAACAAAUUCUGUCUUGAUAAUUGGUUCACUAGACAGAAUUUUCUUGUUCUAGAGGUUUGUUAUUAUUCUGUACUGUCUUUUAUAAUAAUUUUAGUUUGGCAAGACUGAAAUCGUUACAAAUUAAUCAGUUAUGGGAAAUUCUGUAUCACAGAUGAUGAUUAGGUAGCCGAGUCACAGCUGAGUUUGUUUCUGUUCUAGAGCGUGAUAAUGGAUAUCUGAGAGACUUUUGCUUUAUAGUCAGUGUCUUUUCUUCUUUUAAAAAACUAGCAUCUCCCUCACCUUGAAAGACUGAAUGUUGGCAAUGAGUUUUCAUUAAUGAAAGUAGUAUUCUGGAUCUGUAGGUAAAACACUAUUUAUAGCAAUGGAUAUUUAAACAAGGGUUAUAUUUUAGGAGUUAUUCAAUUGAAAGAAGAAAUGUAUGUUGAGAAGUUUUCCAUGGAAUAAGCAGAUAUUUAAAAUGUACAUAAUGGGUUUUGAUUUAUUUGAUUAUAAAAUUAAAUGGCCAUAAAUCUUAUUUUAGGACUAGACACUUUGAGGAAGUCUUGAAAAUUGGGGCUUGCUCUAUAACAUGUUCAAGGUUGAAACACUAACUUUAAAUGGAAAGUUCAAUAUGCCUCCUAAGAGUUUCUUUGAAUUAAAAGUUAGUUUUGUUAUCAGCAUUAAGUUAACCUUGUAAGAAUAUUCUGUAACAUUCCAGUUAAAAACAGAUGUACUAGAGGUGAAGAUAAACUAAUGAGCAUCUUAUUUCCAGAAUAGGCUGUAGUGGCAGCCUAUUAAAAGUCUACAAAGUGGAGAUGUUUCGUAUGAAAGACUUGCUUAUUUAUGUCUUUCUAGAGCUGAAAGUUGGUGUCUUUCCCAUUCUUUUCCAUCACACACACACCCAUAUGAAGAUGAGGAAAUUCUGAGUAGUCGUGUAGCCUUUAUAGGACUAGUUUUAUCGGUUUACUACUAAGUUUUCAGUUUGACCUUUUUAAAGAGUAAAAGGUAUAGGUUUUCUUUUAUAAUUACUACUACUAACUUACUGGUAAAACAAGCAGCUGUAGAAAGGAUUACCACUGCUGCCAGAAACUGCUUUGGGCAUUUUGCUGCAUGUUGAGACUUUGUUCUAAUGGCCUUUCCUGGAGUGUUUUCCAUUUAUCAUUUUACAGGCCUAAACAUGUAUUACUUGUUAACUGAGGCUCUCCUGUAA